AACGAACGCUGGCGGCAUGCCUAACACAUGCAAGUCGAACGAGACCUUCGGGUCUAGUGGCGCACGGGUGCGUAACGCGUGGGAACCUGCCCUUAGGUUCGGAAUAACUCUCCGACAGGGGUGCUAAUACCGGAUAAUGUCUUCGGACCAAAGAUUUAUCGCCUUUGGUUGGGCCCGCGUUGGAGUAGCUAGUUGGUAGGGUAAAAGCUUACUAAGGCGACGAUGCAUAGCUGGUCUGAGAGGAUGAUCAGCCACACUGGGACUGAGACACGGCCCAGACUCCUACGGGAGGCAGCAGUGGGGAAUAUUGGAACAUGGGCGGAAGCCUGAUCCAGCAAUGCCGCGUGAGUGAUGAAGGCCUUAGGGUUGUAAAGCUCUUUUACCCGGGAUGAUAAUGACAGUACCGGGAGAAUAAGCUCCGGCUAACUCCGUG
rnacentral:rRNA from 1 species